UUUGGUUAAGUUAGAAAGGGCGCACGGUGGAUGCCUUGACACUAGGAGUCGAUGAAGGACGGGACUAACGCCGAUAUGCUUCGGGGAGCUGUAAGUAAGCUUUGAUCCGAAGAUUUCCGAAUGGGGAAACCCACCAUACGUAAUGGUAUGGUAUCCUUAUCUGAAUACAUAGGGUAAGGAAGACAGACCCAGGGAACUGAAACAUCUAAGUACCUGGAGGAAGAGAAAGCAAAUGCGAUUUCCUGAGUAGCGGCGAGCGAAACGGAACAUAGCCCAAACCAAGAGGCUUGCCUCUUGGGGUUGUAGGACAUUCUAUACGGAGUUACAAAGGAACGAGGUAGACGAAGCGACCUGGAAAGGUCCGUCGUAGAGGGUAACAACCCCGUAGUCGAAACUUCGUUCUCUCUUGAAUGUAUCCUGAGUACGGCGGAACACGUGAAAUUCCGUCGGAAUCUGGGAGGACCAUCUCCCAAGGCUAAAUACUCCCUAGUGAUCGAUAGUGAACCAGUACCGUGAGGGAAAGGUGAAAAGCACCCCGGAAGGGGAGUGAAAGAGAUCCUGAAACCGUGUGCCUACAAAUAGUCAGAGCCCGUUAACGGGUGAUGGCGUGCCUUUUGUAGAAUGAACCGGCGAGUUACGAUCCCGUGCGAGGUUAAGCUGAAGAGGCGGAGCCACAGCGAAAGCGAGUCUGAAUAGGGCGUUUAGUACGUGGUCGUAGACCCGAAACCAGGUGAUCUACCCAUGUCCAGGGUGAAGUUCAGGUAACACUGAAUGGAGGCCCGAACCCACGCACGUUGAAAAGUGCGGGGAUGAGGUGUGGGUAGCGGAGAAAUUCCAAUCGAACCUGGAGAUAGCUGGUUCUCCCCGAAAUAGCUUUAGGGCUAGCCUUAAGUGUAAGAGUCUUGGAGGUAGAGCACUGAUUGGACUAGGGGUCCUCAUCGGAUUACCGAAUUCAGUCAAACUCCGAAUGCCAAUGACUUAUCCUUAGGAGUCAGACUGCGAGUGAUAAGAUCCGUAGUCAAAAGGGAAACAGCCCAGACCGCCAGCUAAGGUCCCAAAGUGUGUAUUAAGUGGAAAAGGAUGUGGAGUUGCUUAGACAACUAGGAUGUUGGCUUAGAAGCAGCCACCAUUUAAAGAGUGCGUAAUAGCUCACUAGUCGAGUGACUCUGCGCCGAAAAUGUACCGGGGCUAAAUACACCACCGAAGCUGCGGAUUGAUACCAAUGGUAUCAGUGGUAGGGGAGCGUUCUAAGGACAGUGAAGUCAGACCGUAAGGACUGGUGGAGUGCUUAGAAGUGAGAAUGCCGGUAUGAGUAGCGAAAGACGGGUGAGAAUCCCGUCCACCGAAUGCCUAAGGUUUCCUGAGGAAGGCUCGUCCGCUCAGGGUUAGUCAGGACCUAAGCCGAGGCCGACAGGCGUAGGCGAUGGACAACAGGUUGAUAUUCCUGUACCACCUCUUUAUCGUUUGAGCAAUGGAGGGACGCAGAAGGAUAGAAGAAGCGUGCGAUUGGUUGUGCACGUCCAAGCAGUUAGGCUGAUAAGUAGGCAAAUCCGCUUAUCGUGAAGGCUGAGCUGUGAUGGGGAAGCUCCUUAUGGAGCGAAGUCUUUGAUUCCCCGCUGCCAAGAAAAGCUUCUAGCGAGAUAAAAGGUGCCUGUACCGCAAACCGACACAGGUAGGCGAGGAGAGAAUCCUAAGGUGUGCGAGAGAACUCUGGUUAAGGAACUCGGCAAAAUGACCCCGUAACUUCGGGAGAAGGGGUGCUUUCUUAACGGAAAGCCGCAGUGAAUAGGCCCAAGCGACUGUUUAGCAAAAACACAGCUCUCUGCGAAGCCGUAAGGCGAAGUAUAGGGGGUGACACCUGCCCGGUGCUGGAAGGUUAAGGAGAGGGGUUAGCGUAAGCGAAGCUCUGAACUGAAGCCCCAGUAAACGGCGGCCGUAACUAUAACGGUCCUAAGGUAGCGAAAUUCCUUGUCGGGUAAGUUCCGACCCGCACGAAAGGUGUAACGAUUUGGGCACUGUCUCAACCAGAGACUCGGUGAAAUUAUAGUACCUGUGAAGAUGCAGGUUACCCGCGACAGGACGGAAAGACCCCGUGGAGCUUUACUGUAGCCUGAUAUUGAAUUUUGGUACAGUUUGUACAGGAUAGGCGGGAGCCAUUGAAACCGGAGCGCUAGCUUCGGUGGAGGCGCUGGUGGGAUACCGCCCUGACUGUAUUGAAAUUCUAACCUACGGGUCUUAUCGACCCGGGAGACAGUGUCAGGUGGGCAGUUUGACUGGGGCGGUCGCCUCCUAAAGUGUAACGGAGGCGCCCAAAGGUUCCCUCAGAAUGGUUGGAAAUCAUUCGUAGAGUGCAAAGGCAUAAGGGAGCUUGACUGCGAGACCUACAAGUCGAGCAGGGACGAAAGUCGGGCUUAGUGAUCCGGUGGUUCCGCAUGGAAGGGCCAUCGCUCAACGGAUAAAAGCUACCCCGGGGAUAACAGGCUUAUCUCCCCCAAGAGUCCACAUCGACGGGGAGGUUUGGCACCUCGAUGUCGGCUCAUCGCAUCCUGGGGCUGUAGUCGGUCCCAAGGGUUGGGCUGUUCGCCCAUUAAAGCGGUACGCGAGCUGGGUUCAGAACGUCGUGAGACAGUUCGGUCCCUAUCCGUCGUGGGCGUAGGAAAUUUGAGAGGAGCUGUCCUUAGUACGAGAGGACCGGGAUGGACGCACCGCUGGUGUACCAGUUGUUCUGCCAAGGGCAUAGCUGGGUAGCUAUGUGCGGAAGGGAUAAGUGCUGAAAGCAUCUAAGCAUGAAGCCCCCCUCAAGAUGAGAUUUCCCAUAGCGUAAGCUAGUAAGAUCCCUGAAAGAUGAUCAGGUUGAUAGGUUCGAGGUGGAAGCAUGGUGACAUGUGGAGCUGACGAAUACUAAUAGAUCGAGGACUUAACCAUAUAA
rnacentral:rRNA from 1 species